UGGAGGGCAAGUCUGGUGCCAGCAGCCGCGGUAAUUCCAGCUCCAAUAGCGUAUAUUAAAGUUGUUGCAGUUAAAAAGCUCGUAGUUGAAUUUCGGGAUCAAUUUACUGGUCGUGCAAUCGUACGUACUGGUUUUAUUGAUUCCUCCCUUCUGAUGAACUAUGAUGUCAUUAAUUUGGUGUUGCGGGGAAUCUGGACUGUUACUUUGAAAAAAUUAGAGUGUUUAAAGCAGGCUAACGCUUGAAUACAUUAGCAUGGAAUAAUGAAAUAGGACGAUCGAUCCUAUUUUGUUGGUUUCUAGGAUUGACGUAAUGAUUAAUAGGGAUAGUUGGGGGCAUUAGUAUUCAAUUGUCAGAGGUGAAAUUCUUGGAUUUAUUGAAGACUAACUACUGCGAAAGCAUUUGCCAAGGAUGUUUUCAUUAAUCAAGAACGAAAGUUAGGGGAUCGAAGACGAUCAGAUACCGUCGUAGUCUUAACCAUAAACUAUGCCGACUAGGGAUCGGAUGAUGUUAAUUUUUUAAUGACUCAUUCGGCGCCUUACGGGAAACCAAAGUGUUUGGGUUC
rnacentral:rRNA from 1 species